rnacentral:rRNA from 1 species
UACGUAGGGGGCAAGCGUUGUCCGGAUUUAUUGGGCGUAAAGAGCGUGUAGGCGGCUUGGUAGGUCCGCUGUGAAAACUCGAGGCUCAACCUCGAGAUGUCGGCGGAAACCACUUGGCUAGAGUCCGGAAGAGGAGAGUGGAAUUCCUGGUGUAGCGGUGAAAUGCGUAGAUAUCAGGAAGAACAUCGGUGGCGAAGGCGCUCUGCUGGACCAUAACUGACACUCAGGGACGAAAGCUAGGGGAGCGAAUGGG